rnacentral:lncRNA from 1 species
ACCAGACACAUACUCAGUACAUAUACAUAGGCAAAAUAUACAAAUGAGCAAAAAAAAAAAUUUUUUUUUUUAAGUUCUGAAAGGACAUAGAGGAAGGACUAAUGAUUCUGGGAAGAGAGUCAUCAUGUUCAUUUAUACAGCCACUACUAAGCCUACCAGUUUCCAUUAGAUAGCUCCAAACCCAUGUUCACACAGAUAUCCUGGUUAAAUCCAGUCAGUCUCCAAAUAGAACAGACAGAAAUAGGAAGGUUUGUAGGGACGAGGGGCUGUAGAGGCAGCUGGGAAGGAGAUAAGAGAAAGUGAGAGAUGAGAGCCAUCUAUGUGCUACAUACAUAUAUGAACUUGACAACACAUUUGAUUUAAGGUUUUCAUGGGAAGCCAAGCAUGGUAGCACAUUGUAACUCUAACACUUGGGAGGCUACAGCAGGAUUGUGGGUUUGAAGCCUCUUCAGGCUGCUUAAAAUGAUUCUUUCAACAAAGCAAGACAAAAAUUCUAAGAGGAAAAAUUUCCAGCCUAAAAUUUUGUACCCAACUCUUUCUGGGCUAAACUUUGUCCACUCAGAAUUUCUAUCUGUCCUCAUAAUGUGACUGUUUGGACAUAGGGCCCUUUACAAGGUAUAAUUAAGGGGAAAUGGGGUCCUAAUCCAAUCUAAUCUAUUUUCUAAUUUUCACAGGAAAGGGAAAUGUAACCAUGUAGAGGAAAGGCCAGGCACAGGCAGAAAAGGGCCAUUUUUCAAGCCAGAGGGGUCUGAAGACACCUUGGUCUCAGCUUCUCAUCUCCAGAAUGCUCAUAAAUUAAUGUGCUAUUUUAGCCACUAAGUCUAUGGUGACUGACAUGGCAGCUCUACCAGGCUGGCUCACUAGCUGAGCUACCAUCAGGUUCAACCAGGUUCAGAACAAAAGUAUUUUCUGACAUGUAAGCCCUCAAAACAAAGACACCUUUGAGAAGCUUUUCUUGGGACGCUACUUAACUAUUACCAUUUUAUAAUUUAUAAAGUACAAGAUAGACCUAACGCCCAGUCCAUCAUUUUUGUCAAUAAAAUGGAAGACUGUCAUCUAUCCUAACUUAAAAGACAUUCUACAGUAUACCUCACUGAAGAAAGGAAGUAGAAAUAGCUAGAGCCAGUGGCAACUCGCACUGCCUCCCAGCACUGAUGGGAGCCAGUCUGGGCUCUCGGUCAAGAAAAUGGCAAGUCCUAGCUUGAGAUAUACGUUCAAACAGACGAAAUUGGUCAAGUCUUGUGCUCAGAUGGAUGGAAGAGAGAGAAGUAGGACAGACAGAAGGCUGUGUGGCAGAGGCCUGCAUUCUAGAGCUCACAUAGGCUCUGCACUUCGGCGCUUGGCACAGAAGCAUGGAAUGACCUCAGGGUGCAGCAGGUGUGACGAUGUGUUUUAGAAGCUGCGACUAUCUUAGGAAACCAAGAGGUAACGUCGCAGAUACUGAGCAGUUAAAAGCAUGUCGGGUAAAACCUACUGUUUUUGUAGUGUUAAAGAAACAAAUCUGCUCAUGAAAGAAUUGAUUGUGAGUGUUCCUAACGCUGAUCGGAAUAUACAAAGGGUUUUGUUUGUUUGUUUGUUUGUUUGUUUUUAAGUGCAUCUUUUAAGCUAGGAAUUCCCUUCUAGAAAUAAAAAAAGACAAAACAAAACAAAAUCAGAGCUGUGUGCAGACAGUGAGCCACUAACCUCUGCAGUGCCAACCAGGAAGUAAGAGAAUUUAGAUUAGAAACUCACAGGUUUGAGAUUUAGGAGUUAAGUAAACACGUGCAGAAAAGUGAGUGGAAACACUCCUAUUUUGGGUUGUUGCAGUUGAGAGUGACUUUUUUCCUUGGAGCAUUGUGCUUACUUUUGAAUCAGUUGCUGUGGGGCUGGAGCCUUGGCAAAGCUCUGAGAGCACUGACAUCUUCUGAGAGUACUGACAUGGUGGCUCAAAAUCCUCUGCAACUUCAGUCCUAGGGGCAAUCUGGGGCCCCCUUCUGCAUAUUUUACACAGAUGUAUGCUGACAAAACACCUGUACACGC